ACCGUUUUUAUAGAUUUAGGGAUUUGAAUGAAUUUUAACUGCUCUCUGUGGGAUCGACCCUGCUUACCAUUAUACUAAUUUAUUUUGGUAAUUCCGCAGGAAUUAUUUGGUGGUUGGCGACGUCCACCAAAUUGGCGCCGUUGCCGGGGAGCGGUGUUAAUUAAUUCUUUUCCCUUUGUCUAUUUUUUUUUUUUUAUUUUCUUUGUUUAUGAGCAGAUCGUCCAAGCCGAACCUCCUCUACGAUAGUGAAAUUGAGAAGACCGCGAAGAAGCUAAGGAAGGAGGCAAAGGCGAGGAAGCUACUGGAUCUGCUGGAUUCGCAGUCUGACCUUCCCGUUCGACCAGAUCAGUUCGUCGAGGAGAAGCCCAGUACUGUUGCU
rnacentral:lncRNA from 1 species